rnacentral:rRNA from 1 species
GAUGAACGCUAGCGGGAGGCUUAACACAUGCAAGUCGAGGGGUAGGGAAGCAAUUCCUGAGACCGGCGGACGGGUGCGUAACGCGUAUGCAACCUGCCUUAUACAGGGGGAUAGCCCAUGGAAACGUGGAUUAACACCCCAUAGGAUUACGGGAUCGCAUGAUUUUGUGAUUAAAACUGAGGUGGUAUAAGAUGGGCAUGCGUCUGAUUAGGUAGUUGGUAGGGUAAUGGCCUACCAAGCCGACGAUCAGUAGGGGUUCUGAGAGGAUUACCCCCCACACUGGUACUGAGACACGGACCAGACUCCUACGGGAGGCAGCAGUGAGGAAUAUUGGUCAAUGGCCGGAAGGCUGAACCAGCCAUCCCGCGUGCAGGAUGACGGCCCUAUGGGUUGUAAACUGCUUUUGUACCUGAAGAAUAGGCCCAACGAGUUGGGAUUUGCCGGUAAGGUAUGAAUAAGCAUCGGCUAACUCCGUGCCAGCAGCCGCCGCAG